rnacentral:tRNA from 1 species
GGCCUCGUGGCGCAAUGGUAGCGCGUCGCUCUCCUAGUCUGCUGUCAUAGCUCAUGAUAGUCUCAAAGCGGAAGUUGUGAGUUCGAGUCUCACCGGGGUCG